UACGGAGGGUGCAAGCAUUAAUCGGAUUUAUUGGGCGUAAAGGGCGCGUAGGCUGGAAAGAAAGUCAGAUGUGAAAUCCCAGGGCUCAACCCUGGAACAGCAUUUGAAACUUCUAUUCUAGAGGGUAGGCGGAGAAAAUGGAAUUCCACAAGUAGCGGUGAAAUGCGUAGAUAUGUGGAAGAACACCAGUGGCGAAGGCGGUUUUCGUAGCUUAUACCUGACGCUGAGGCGCGAAAAGCAAGGGGGAUCAAACAGGG
rnacentral:rRNA from 1 species